rnacentral:rRNA from 1 species
AUGGGCGCAAGCCUGAUNCCAGCCAUACCGCGUGGGUGAAGAAGGCCUUCGGGUGUGUAAAGCCCUUUUGUUGGGAAAGAAAUCCAGCUGGCUAAUACCCGGUUGGGAUGACGGUACCCAAAGAAUAAGCACCGGCUAACUUCGUGCCAGCAGCCGCGGUAAUACGAAGGGUGCAAGCGUUACUCGGAAUUACUGGGCGUAAAGCGUGCGUAGGUGGUCGUUUAAGUCCGUUGUGAAAGCCCUGGGCUCAACCUGGGAACUGCAGUGGAUACUGGGCGACUAGAGUGUGGUAGAGGGUAGCGGAAUUCCUGGUGUAGCAGUGAAAUGCGUAGAGAUCAGGAGGAACAUCCAUGGCGAAGGCAGCUACCUGGACCAACACUGACACUGAGGCACGAAAGCGUGGGGAGCAAACAGGAUUAGAUACCCUGGUAGUCCACGCCCUAAACGAUGCGAACUGGAUGUUGGGUGCAAUUUGGCACGCAGUAUCGAAGCUAACGCGUUAAGUUCGCCGCCUGGGGAGUACGGUCGCAAGACUGAAACUCAAAGGAAUUGACNGGGGCCCGCACAAGCGGUGGAGUAUGU